rnacentral:rRNA from 1 species
CGACCAGACUCCUACGGGAGGCAGCAGUGGGGAAUAUUGCACAAUGGGGGAAACCCUGAUGCAGCGACGCCGCGCGAGCGAUGAAGUAUUUCGGUAUGUAAAGCUCUAUCAGCAGGAAAGAAAAUGACGGUACCUGACUAAGAAGCCCCGGCUAACUACGUGCCAGCAGCCGCGGUAAUACGUAGGGGGCAAGCGUUAUCCGGAUUUACUGGGUGUAAAGGGAGCGUAGACGGCAGUGCAAGUCCGGAGUGAAAGCCCGGGGCUCAACCCUGGGACUGCUCUGGAAACUGUAAAGCUGGAGUGCGGGAGGGGCAGGCGGAAUUCCUGGUGUAGCGGUGAAAUGCGUAGAUAUCAGGAGGAACACCGGUGGCGAAGGCGGCCUGCUGGACUGCAACUGACGUUGAGGCCCGAAAGCGUGGGGAGCAAACAGGAUUAGAUACCCCAGUAA